rnacentral:tRNA from 1 species
CGACUUAGCUCAGUUGGUAGAGCAUCGCUCUUGUAAAGCGGAGGUCGAAGGUUCGAACCCUUUAGUCGG